rnacentral:pre_miRNA from 1 species
UUUAGAAUAUGUUUAGAUUGGUCGAAUUGGUCACCUUUCGCACGAAUUAUUUUCGCGACGGUUUCAUUGGCCGUUUGAAAGCCAUAAUUUGUGCCAAAGGUGACCAAUUCGAACAAAUCUAAACAUAUUCUAAAUUU